ensembl:snoRNA SNORA70 Small nucleolar RNA SNORA70
CUCUAGAAAAAUUAAAGAUUUGGCCACUAUGGAAACUGCUGAGGGUCCCAUGUGUAAUGGCUGCAAACAGCAUCCUUUGUUGCAUGGACAGCCUGAUUUUUGCUCUAAGGGACUGUGGAGACAGCC